rnacentral:lncRNA from 1 species
AAGAGGGGGGUAACCACCUCAUCCUCCCUUGAUACCCGAUCCAAACGGGGUCUAAAUGUUUUUGUUUUUACAUUUCCAUCGUUUGUCCUCUACAUUUUUGUCAUGCCCCGCCCGCGACCGCCAAUUUGGUCGCUUCGGGUACGUCGAUUAGACGCCGAACGGACAGAAUCUUUCCUGUCCGCACAAGGCUAACAACAACAAGAUCAUGUAUCUAAACAGUUACCCAGGAAACAUUAACCUCAUAUAUGAUCUAAGCAAGUACUAAUAUAAGCAAUCAACAAAAGAGAGAAAAAUCUAGCUAUUAUAAUUCCAUUCAACAUAUACAUCUAGUUUACAUUUUUCAUCUCUAAAAUGUAUACAUGUUCACCUCAAAAUACAAAAUAGCUCUUCAAUAUAUAUAUCAUCUAUCACUCAUGUACACGAGGGUACUCUAAUGCAAAAGGAAAGCUGUUAGCUAACUAGGGCGCUAUGCCCUUAUCGCGGUCCUCGCCCGGUCCGCUCGAACUCGGCCCUACAACAAAGUGGGGUGAGAACCAUAUAAAUAUAGUUUUCAGUGGGUUCGGACGCCGAGUCCGUCGAUCUUCCCACUAGAUCUAAGCAGGCAUAAGUAGAUAGAUAGAUAUAUGAAAAUGAGCUGCUACAUUGUAACACACUGGACCUUUGCAAAUUGCGAGGUUCGAGUGUUUGAGCUGUGUUCUGAGUUUUUCCGGAUUUUCUGGUGGGUCGUUGAUAGUGUUCCGACCUAUAGCCCAUAUCUCGAGGAUUGUAAUAUUUUAUGUAGCACUAAGACCACCAAAGAGUUGGAUUUAGGCUACCCUCGGAUUGCAUUCUGCUUAUGGUGAAACCGGUGACAGGUCGCUGGUUGUACUGGUACAUUAUUUGUACCGCUACACCUUGAUGGUUGUACCGGUACACUUCUGUUUUUCUGCCAACCCGAGCCUCGGGUUUGCAUUUUCGCGGGAUUUGUACCGGUACACUUUCCCGUGUACCGAUACACUUUGGCAGAUUUUGAGCAGUUUGAACUGUAGGGGUGUUUUUGUAAUUGUGGCUUUCUAUAACAGCCCCCACGCCCCUAGAGCUCUUGUGAGACCCCAGAUAGUCCUAUAUAUGAGAUAUAAUAGGGCUAAACUCUUAACCCGGUUUAAAGAAGGGGAGAUUGUGAGACCCCAUAUAGUCCUAUAUAUGAGAUAUAAUAGGGCUAAACUCUUAACCCGGCUUAAGCAUUUUGGGUGGUGGCAAGGCCUAAGAGGUUAAGAGAGUUAAGCGUGCUAGGACGGGAGUAGUCCUAGGAUGGGUGACCCCCUGGGAAGUUGGGGCGUCACAGCUCUCCCCUGUGCCUUCCAUUUGGAUUUGAUCCCCUUUUAACUUGGAUUUUGGUGUAUUAAACCUCUAUUUUUGCUUCUUUUGCUUGUUAGAGGCUUUCCCACCAUUGGAGCUUAGAUUUGAAGCUUGGUAGAGGGAAGAUCUUUAAAGUUUGAGGACUUAGAACCUUGUUGAAGCCUCUAAAAGGUUAGUAGCAAGAUCUUUUCCUCUAAAUUUGGUUUUUGAAGGUUUCUUUGAGAUGAAACCCAAACCCUAGAAUGGAAACCUAGGGUUGAUUUUGGGCAUUUUUGGAUCUAGGGAUUUUGGAACUCGAUCUUUUGGUUUAGAACCUUCCUCUAGGUUAGAUUGGAAAGGUUCUAGCCCUUUUUUGGAGCUUAAGAAGAGAUUUCUUCUUUGAAUGUGAGUUUUGGCCCUUUUCUUGAGACGGUUAAAGAUCAAGCUUGGGAUUGUUCGUAACAUUCGUUUCUCUCUUCUUUCCUUACCUUUAGGGUACCAGAGGACUUGGGGACAACUUCGUUUGAGCUUACGAAGGGUUCCAAGACGCUUCGGUGGGUUUGACCUAGCCACACAAUGAGAAAAUCUCAUUAGUGAUGAUUUGAGUAUCGUAAAAUAAGAAAGCAUGCAUAAUCAUAUUAGAUGUAAUAUUUAUGAAUUUUAGAAUGCUUAAAAUGCCUAUAUUACAUACAUUGUAUUUUCGGACCUCUAUGAAGUAGAGAACUUGCAUGUGAGGCUUAUGUGUGCAGUAGCAUUCUUAUGAGAGAUUUGGGUUCCUGUUUAUAUAGUAAAAUUGAUAUAUGUAAAGUGCCAUUGGACUUAAACCCUAGUUGGACAUGGAACUAUUAUAAUGCCAUAAAGGGGCAUUGGACUAGAUUGGCAUGCGAACUAGAGAGCUAUCGUCAUUAAGCGGCAUUGAGCUUGGGUUAUGGGGUACCUAGCAGAUAGGGCCAUUGAGAGAAUUGGAACAUGGUUGAACAUCGAAAUGUCUAAGUAUCAUAAAGGGGCACUAGACUUAGUGAAUGUUGGAACUUCACAUUGUGACAUUGAACUAGAUCUUUGGGAUGCUAGUGGCUUUGACCAUGUUAGAGACAUGAUGAUUGGACACUUGAGACAUUGACUACGCUUGUUUGCCAUUUGUGCUCAUUCGCACAUGUUUGUGAGGGUCGCUCCCUACAAGCCGGCACUCCGGAGUUGGCCUACGCGACUUAUGCUCGCUCGUGCGGCAUCGAGAAACCUACGGUGUCGAGAGGGAUAGACUCAUUCCUAGAGUGGGAAUGCUAGAGGUACCACCUACACUUAGGUGGCACAAGCUGGACUACAUUCAUGUAGGUCCCAGAACAUGAUUAAACAAUGACAUUGAACCGGAAAAUGACAAUCACUAUUAGAUAGGCUUAGUAGUUUGAUUACUUUGACACGCUUAUAGCAUAGUGUUGGGACAUGUAGUAUACAUGAUAGUCUUAUUUGUUGCAUCAUUGUAUACUUGGCUGCCAUGAUAGAGCAUAUUCAUCAUAUAUCGAUAUAUUGGAUCAUGAUACCUAUUCGCUUGUUAUGUUGGGACAUGUUAGUCAUGCCUGGACAUACUUCAUUUUGAUUAAGCAAAUGUACAAUACAUUGACAUCAUGUUUAAUUCCAACAUAGUAGCUUAGCAUUUUAAUUAUGCUUUCAUAAAUGCAAUUUAGUUAUUAUUAUCGUUGCUUUUUGGACUUACCCUUUUCUUUUGGGGCCUAGUGGUGCAUUGAGCUGAGGUCAGUAAUUGCCCACUGUGAACUAUAAAUUAUAGUUCUCACACCCUCUGUUUUAUGUCUUAUUUCAGUGCCUUCCACGCCGGGAGAGGCUAGGGACCGCGGAAAGGGUAUCACCUCGAGCUAGCUUGCUAUCGAGGGACACGUUGAUAGGUGGUCUACCUCUCGUUGUUUUCUUUUUGGAGAGGUUGAGAGUUGUAUUCAUGUAUAGGGACCACCCUUUUUUCUGUACCCUUUUGGAGAUGGUUAUUAUCUAACUCUAUGUUUUUCCUUUAUGGUUUAGUUACGCUUUAUUUAUUUUUGUUAUAGAUGAUAGAUGUGUACUUGCUCUGAUAUCUCUAGUUGUAGAUCAUCUUUGGUUUUUAUUUUCCGCUGUUGUUGUAGACGCCUUAUAUGUGUUGACAUAUGGAGGGUCUGGGCGCGCUACUGGGAGGGCCUUCGCCGGUCCUGGGGCGUGACAGAUUAGUUUGGUAUCAGAGCCUAGGGUUGAGUCUUAGUGGACCUAGCAAACCUUAGGCCGGUUGGACUAUAGGAUAUAGACUCGUGAGAGACGAGGUCUAUUUGACUUGUAAGCGAAAGUAUUUCAAUUGGGUUUUACAAUAACUCUAAAAAGUUGGAGUUGGAUCGCAGUGUAUGGCUUCUAACUUCGCGGAGGGUUACGUUGGCGGCCAACAACGUAACAUCGGGAGUUAGUUGUGGAUAAUACUUCAUUACUUUCGCAUUAUUUGGGUAUUGUUAUUUGAGCGAGGAUUCGACAGCGUGGGUUUACUAACUUACGCUUUUAUGAUGUUGUAGUGAUGAUGCCGAUCACACGCUCUUAAUCUGCGGGAGCGGAUAAUGCGGCACAUCUCGAGGAGGUCGAGACCUCCUCUACCUUCAGAUCCGGCGAGGUCCGUGAGUUGAGGGGCCAGCUUGCAGCCCUCACUGAUUUGGUGACGCGACAGGCUGACACGGCGUUUCGGCAGGAGGCGCGGAUAAAGCGCCUGAAGGACCUUCUGCUGCAGCAGGCGGCUGGCAGCCAGGGAGACUCAGGUCCCUACACCACCCACACCAGUGGAGGUGGUGGCACCUAGGGUGUCGUCCCCUGCACUCGACGCUUCUAGGACGGCACCAGUGGCGGCACCUCGGGAGGAGGACAUUGUGGCACCACCAGCGCGAGCACCUAUAGCGGGGGCGGUUUUUCCCAUGAUAGUUGAGGGAGCUAAGCGGGAUCGGCUUAUGGAGCGUCUCAGUGAGUUCAGGAGAUGCAGUCCACGGACCUUCGACGGGGAGAACGUGGACCAUUGGAUUGUAGAGAAAUGGUUGAUGCAUAUGGAGAAGUUGUUUUGGGACACCUUUGUCGAGGAGGAGGAUCGAGUGUGGCUCGCCACACAUCACUUGGACGGCGAGGCCUAUAGAUGGUGGUUGGACAUCUAAGACAACCCCACUACGGAUCUGACGGCGAUUUCAUGGAGGAGGUUCAAGGAACUCCUACUAGAGCAUUACUUCCCUUACAGUGUCAAGAGGAAGAUGGAGCAGGAUUUGCACAAUCUGCGCCAGGGGGACAGGACGGUGGCCGAAUAUGAGAGAGAGUUCUCUCGGCUUCUUCAUUGUGUACUUUUUGUUGUCCGAGAUGACGAGGACAAGGCCCGCAUCUUCCAGCGGGGACUGCGGCCUUCGAUCUUUCGGUUUGUUCAGUCUUCCAACCUCUAAACCUACCGGGAGGUUGUGAACCGCGCGCUCAUAGUGGAGAGCGGCGCGGUAGAUCUGCAGGAGCGGCGAGAAACCUUGGACAAAGGCAAGGGCAAGAGGCCCGCAGCUGAGGGUGCGAGCCAGGUGCACUCAGGGAGGCCGCCGAGACAUCCGAGACACCGGAGCCAGUCGCGAGGACGUGGCCAGUCUACUCAGCGAUGAGGACCUGAUCGACGCCAGGCUCCAUGCUGCGUGAUCUGCAGUGGUCCCCAUUUUCCACUGCAGUGUUCACACAGUCGGGGAAGGUGCUACUUGUGUGGCCAAGAGGGCCACUUCCAGUCGGACUACCCGAGAGGUUCAGCACCGGCGCCAUCUUCUGCAUCUGCACCAGCCUUACCGGGUCCCAGCCAGGGGACACUUUCUGCGCAUCACCAGGCUGGGCGACCGCCAGUUCAGCGGCAGGCGGAGGGGUCACGACAGGCCCCGAGUUGGCGCAUGUACGCGGCCCAGACUGAGGAGGCGGCAGCAGCCGAGAAUAUGGUCGCAGGUAUCAUUUUAUUUUAUGGUAUUCGAGUACGAGCAUUAUUUGAUACCGGUGCAUCGCAUUCAUUCAUAGACCGGCUGUUUGCCGAGUUGCUUGGCAUCCCACUGACAUUUUUGUUGCAUCCGGGACAAGUUGUAGUAUCUGAUCACUCGUUGGAUAUUCGAGAGUUUUGCCCCAGUUGCCUUGUUCGGGUUGGAGAUUGGGUCAUGCCCGUGGACUUGCUAGCUUUGCAUAAACUCGGAGAGUUUGAUGUUAUUUUCGGCAUGGAUUAGUUGACCAAAUACUACGCCAUUAUCGAUUGCAAGAAUUGAACAGUGACAUUUAAAGAGCCGGGGCAGGCGGAGGUUGUGUACCGAGGAUGUCAGAGUUCACUGUUUGUGAUGACGAUUAGCUCCUCUCGAGCUAGACAGUUGAUCAAUAGAGGCUGCGUAGCCUAUUUGGCUACUGUUGUGUUGCGAGCGAUGCAGACGCCCCUAGGAUUGAGGAUAUCCCUGUAGUACGGGAGUUUGGAGAUGUAUUUCCAGCAGAGCUUCCAGGCAUGCCACCUGAUAGAGAGAUUGAAUUUGUGUAGAUCUCGUUCCCGGGACUACCCCAAUCUCAAAGGCACCCUAUAGGAUGGCACCAACGGAACUGAAGGAACUGAAGGUACAGUUGCAAGAUCUUCUGGACAAGGGUUUUGUGCGAACGAGUGUGUCACCUUAUGGAGCACCGGUCCUAUUUGUCAAGAAGAAGGAUGGAUCGCUUCGCUUGUGCGUGGAUUAUCGUGAACUCAAUAAAGUCACGAUCAAGAAUAAGUAUCCAUUACCGAGGAUUGAUGAUUUAUUUGAUCAGCUCCAGGGAUCUAGUGUGUAUUCCAAGAUCGACUUGCAGUCGGGAUACCAUCAGUUGAAGAUCAAGCCUGAGGAUGUGUCGAAAACGGCUUUUAGAACACGGUAUGGACAUUAUGAGUUUACAGUUAUGCCGUUUGGGCUUACUAAUGCCCCGGCAGCUUUUAUGGACUAAUGAACCGUGUUUUCAAGCCUUAUCUAGACAGGUUCGUCGUAGUAUUCAUCGACGACAUUUUGGUCUAUUCCCGAAGUGAUACGGAUCACGAGGAACACUUAAGACUUCUACUUCAAGUGCUUCGGGAAAAGAAGCUCUACGCCAAAAUUGAAGAAGUGUGAGUUUUGGCUUAGAGAGGUGGCGUUUUUGGGCCAUUUGAUUUCAGGAUCAGGUAUAGCUGUAGAUUCGAGAAAAAUUGAAGCCAUCAAGGAUUGGCCGAGGCCUACGAGUGUCACCGAGAUUCGGAGUUUUCUUGGCUUGGCGGGCUACUACCGACGGUUUGUUGAGGGAUUUUCGAGGCUAUCCACUCCCCUCACGAGGCUCACGCAUAAAGGCACCAGGUUUGUUUGGAAUGAUGCGUACGAAAGGAGCUUCCAAGAGUUGAAGCAGAGAUUGACGACCGCCCCGAUCCUGACCUUGCCAACUGCUGGAGCAGGGUAUGUGAUUUAUAGUGAUGCUUCCUUUUAAUGGAUUGGGCUGUGUCUUAAUGCAGGACGGGAAAGUGAUCGCGUAUGCUUCUCGCCAACUGAAGGAUUAUGAAAGAAACUACCCUACUCAUGAUUUGGAGUUGGCGGCCGUGGUCUUUGCAUUAAAGCUAUGGCACCAUUACUUGUACGGCAAGCGAUGCGAAGUAUAUACGGAUCACAAGAGUUUAAAGUAUCUAUUCACUCAGAAGGAGUUGAACUUGAGGCAGCGCAGAUAGUUGGAGCUACUCAAGGAUUAUGAUUUGACGAUACUUUACCAUCCUGGCAAGGCUAACAUGGUGGCGGAUGCGCUAAGUAGGAAAUCGAUGGAAAACUUAGCGAUGCUUGUGGUUACUCAACCGCCGUUGAUCAAGCAGAUGAAGCGGUUGGAGUUGGAGGUGGUGGCUCCUGAUACACCUUUGAGACUGAUGACUUUGGUGGUGCAACCUACACAACCUACACUUGUGGAAAGGAUUAAAGAAAAGCAAGACCCCGAUGUGGAGUUGCAAAGGAUUCGAGCUAAGAUGAUUGAUGGUUGCACCGGUAACUUUUCUGUGGACGGUGUUGGAUUGAUCCAUUUCCGUGGACGGAUCUGUGUACCGGCGAAAUCGGCACUUAGAGAAGAAUUCUUCAAGAGGCACACCGAGCACCGUAUGUUAUACAUCCUGGAGGCACCAAGAUGUACAAGAACUUAAAGUUGCUUUAUUGGUGGCCCGGGAUGAAGAAAGACGUUGGUGAGUUUGUUGCUAGAUGUCUAACUUGCCAACAGGUGAAAGCUGAGCACCGAGUUCCCGUGGAAAAAUUGUAGAGCUUACCGAUUCCGGUGUGGAAAUGGGAGAAGAUCACCAUAGACUUUGUUAUAGGUUUGCCCCGCUCGCAGGCCGGGCAUGAUGCUAUUUGGGUGAUCGUGGAUAGGCUGACGAAAUCGGCACAUUUCGUACCUAUCUACACUAUUUUGACUGUUGAGAGACUCGCACAGGUUUACUUAGAUGAGAUUGUGCGAUUGCACGGGGUACCUACUUCCAUAGUAUCAGAUCGAGUCCCCCGAUUUGUAUUUCACUUUUGGAGGAGUUUACAGGAUGCUUUGGGUACGCGCUUAGACUUAAGUACAGUUUUCCAACCCCAGAGUGACGGGCAAUCAGAGCGCACUAUACAGACUCUUGAGGAUAUGCUUUGAGCCUGUGUGAUAGACUUCCAGUGAGGAUGGUCGCAACAUCUAGCGAUGGCGGAGUUUGCUUAUAACAACAGUUAUCAAGCAAGCAUCAAGAUGACACCUUUCGAGGCACUCUAUGGACGGAAGUGUAGAUCGCCACUUUAUUGGAGUGAAGUUGGCGAGAGAUUGGCUUUAGGCCCAGAUGUGCUCCACGAAGCAGAGGACAAGGUUCGCAUUGCUCGGGAGCGUUUGUUGACAGCCCAGAGUAGGCAAAAGAGUUAUGCUGACAAGCGUCGACGGGAGUUGAAGUUUUAGAUUGGUGAUCAUGUCUUCUUGAAAAUCUCACCGACCAAGGGGAUUAGAAGAUUUGGGAUCCGGGGUAAGUUGAGUCCCCGAUAUAUUGGACCAUAUGAGGUUUUGGAGCGUGUAGGCCUAGUAGCGUAUCGACUUGCCCUACCACCGAACCUAUCGGGUGUACACAAUGUUUUCCACGUAUCAGUCCUCCAGAAGUACAUCCAUGAUCCGGCUCACGUAUUAGAUGCUACACCAUUGGAGCUGAGGGAUGAUUUGAGUUUCUAGGAGCAACCUGUGAGGAUCUUAGCUCGUGAAGUAAAGAGGCUGCGGAACCGCGAGAUCCCUACGUGAAAGUUCUUUGGAGCAACCAUGAUGAGCGCGAGGCCACUUGGGAGUUGGAGAGCGCACUCCGGGAAUGCUAUCCCCAUCAUUUUCAGAUGGAGGCUUGAGGUACUUUACCUUUCGAGUUUUGCGGACGAAACUCCUUUUUAGGAGGGGUGAAUGUAACACACUGGACCUUUGCAAAUUGCGAGGUUCGAGUGUUUAAGCUGUGUUCUGAGUUUUUCCGGAUUUUCUGGUAGGUCGUUGAUAGUGUUUCGACCUAUGGCUCAUAUCUCGAGGAUUGUAGUAUUUUAUGUAG